rnacentral:rRNA from 1 species
UAGCGGCGGAAAAGAAACCAACAGGGAUUGCCCCAGUAACGGCGAGUGAAGCGGCAACAGCUCAAAUUUGAAAUCUGGCCCCCCCCGGGGCCCGAGUUGUAAUUUGUAGAGGAAGCUUUGGGCGCGGCACCCACCGAGUCCCCUGGAACGGGGCGCCAUAGAGGGUGAGAGCCCCGUAGGGUGGGAUGCCCAGCCCCUGUAAAGCUCCUUCGACGAGUCGAGUAGUUUGGGAAUGCUGCUCAAAAUGGGAGGUAAAUUUCUUCUAAAGCUAAAUACUGGCCAGAGACCGAUAGCGCACAAGUAGAGUGAUCGAAAGAUGAAAAGCACUUUGAAAAGAGGGUUAAACAGCACGUGAAAUUGUUGAAAGGGAAGCGCUUGUGACCAGACUUGCGCCCGGCUGAUCAGUCCGGUGUUCUUCACCGGUGCACUCUGCCGGGCCCAGGCCAGCAUCGGUUCUCGCGGGGGGAGAAAGGCCCGGGGAACGUAGCUCCUCCGGGAGUGUUAUAGCCCCUGGCGGCAUGCCCUCGCGGGGACCGAGGUUCGCGCAUUCGCAAGGAUGCUGGCGUAAUGGUCAUCAGCGACCCGUCUUGAAACACGGACCAAGGAGUCAAGGUUUUGCGCGAGUGUUUGGGUGUCAAACCCGCACGCGUAAUGAAAGUGAACGUAGGUGAGAGCUUCGGCGCAUCAUCGACCGAUCCUGAUGUAUUCGGAUGGAUUUGAGUAGGAGCGUUAAGCCUUGGACCCGAAAGAUGGUGAACUAUGCUUGGAUAGGGUGAAGCCAGAGGAAACUCUGGUGGAGGCUCGCAGCGGUUCUGACGUGCAAAUCGAUCGUCAAAUC